rnacentral:rRNA from 1 species
AGAGUUUGAUCAUGGCUCAGGAUGAACGCUAGCGGCAGGCUUAAUACAUGCAAGUCGAGGGGCAACAGGGGUAGCAAUACCUGCUGGCGACCGGCAAACGGGUGCGCAACACGUACAGAACCUUCCUUUAAGCGGGGGAUAGCCCAUAGAAAUGUGGAUUAAUACCCCAUAGUAAUAUUGAUUGGCAUCAGUUAAUAUUUAAAGAUUUAUCACUUAAAGAUGGCUGUGCGUCUGAUUAGGUAGUUGGUCGGGGUAACGGCCCACCAAGCCAUCGAUCAGUAACUGGUGUGAGAGCACGACCAGUCACACGGGCACUGAGACACGGGCCCGACUCCUACGGGAGGCAGCAGUAAGGAAUAUUGGUCAAUGGACGCAAGUCUGAACCAGCCAUGCCGCGUGAAGGAUGAAGGCCCUCUGGGUUGUAAACUUCUUUUAUCUGGGAAGAAAUGCUUGUUUUUCAACGAGUUUGACGGUACCAGAGGAAUAAGCACCGGCUAACUCCGUGCCAGCAGCCGCGGUAAUACGGAGGGUGCAAGCGUUAUCCGGAUUCACUGGGUUUAAAGGGUGCGUAGGUGGGUUAGUAAGUCAGUGGUGAAAUCUCCGUGCUUAACAUGGAAACUGCCAUUGAUACUACUGGUCUUGAAUUUUCUGGAGGUAAGCGGAAUAUGUCAUGUAGCGGUGAAAUGCUUAGAUAUGACAUAGAACACCAAUUGCGAAGGCAGCUUACUACAGGGAUAUUGACACUGAGGCACGAAAGCGUGGGGAUCAAACAGGAUUAGAUACCCCUGUAGUCC